GACGAACGCUGGCGGCGUGCUUAACACAUGCAAGUCGAACGGAAAGGCCCUGCUUUUGUGGGGUGCUCGAGUGGCGAACGGGUGAGUAACACGUGAGUAACCUGCCCUUGACUUUGGGAUAACUUCAGGAAACUGGGGCUAAUACCGGAUAGGAGCUCCUGCUGCAUGGUGGGGGCUGGAAAGUUUCGGCGGUUGGGGAUGGACUCGCGGCUUAUCAGCUUGUUGGUGGGGUAGUGGCUUACCAAGGCUUUGACGGGUAGCCGGCCUGAGAGGGUGACCGGCCACAUUGGGACUGAGAUACGGCCCAGACUCCUACGGGAGGCAGCAGUGGGGAAUAUUGCACAAUGGGCGGAAGGCUGAUGCAGCAACGCCGCGUGCGGGAUGACGGCCUUCGGGUUGUAAACCGCUUUCGCCUGUGACGAAGCGUGAGUGACGGUAAUGGGUAAAGAAGCACCGGCUAACUACGUG
rnacentral:rRNA from 1 species